rnacentral:misc_RNA from 1 species
GCAAACUUGGUCAUUUAGAGGAAGUAAAAGUCGUAACAAGGUUUCCGUAGGUGAACCUGCGGAAGGAUCAUUACCGAGUUAGGGUUGCUCCCCAAAAAGAGUGCCCGACCUCCCAACCCUUUGCUUACUUGACCUUUUGUUGCUUCGGCAGGCCCGCCCUCCUGGGCCGCCGGGAGUCGGUAACACGCUCCUGGCCAGUUUUGCCUGCCGACGGCCCCAACCACAAACUCUUGUUACAAACGUGUCGUCUGAGUAUGAUCUAAACAAUAAUAAUCAAAACUUUCAACAACGGAUCUCUUGGUUCUGGCAUCGAUGAAGAACGCAGC